rnacentral:rRNA from 1 species
AGUGAACGCUGGCGGUAGGCCUAACACAUGCAAGUCGAACGGCAGCACAGUAAGAGCUUGCUCUUACGGGUGGCGAGUGGCGGACGGGUGAGGAAUACAUCGUAAUCUACUUUUUCGUGGGGGAUAACGUAGGGAAACUUACGCUAAUACCGCAUACGACCUACGGGUGAAAGCAGGGGAUCUUCGGACCUUGCGCGAUUGAAUGAGCCGAUGUCGGAUUAGCUAGUUGGCGGGGUAAAGGCCCACCAAGGCGACGAUCCGUAGCUGGUCUGAGAGGAUGAUCAGCAAAACUGGAACUGAGACACGGUCCAGACUCCUACGGGAGGCAGCAGAGGGGAAUAUUGGACAAUGGGCGAAAGCCUGAUCCAGCCAUACCGCGUGGGUGAAGAAGGCCUUCGGGUUGUAAAGCCCUUUUGUUGGGAAAGAAAAGCAGCAGGUUAAUACCCCGCUGUUCUGACGGUACCCAAAGAAUAAGCACCGGCUAACUUCGUG